rnacentral:rRNA from 1 species
AACGAACGCUGGCGGCAGGCCUAACACAUACAAGUCGAACGCGCGUAGCAAUACGCGAGUGGCGCACGGGUGAGUAACACGUGGGAAUCAACCCUGAGGUUCGGAAUAACCGCGGGAAACUGCGGCUAAUACCGGAUGUCCCCUAUGGGGGAAAGAUUUAUCGCCUUGGGACGAGCCCGCGUCCGAUUAGCUAGUUGGUGAGAUAACGGCUCACCAAGGCUACGAUCGGUAGCUGGUCNGAGAGGAUGACCAGCCACACUGGAACUGAGAUACGGUCCAGACUCCUACGGGAGGCAGCAGUGGGGAAUAUUGGGCAAUGGAGGCAACUCUGACCCAGCCAUGCCGCGUGGGUGACGAAGGUCUUCGGAUUGUAAAGCCCUUUCGGCGGAGACGAUGAUGACGGUAUCCGCAGAAGAAGCCCCGGCUAACUUCGUGCCAGCAGCCGCCGUAAU